GUUCGUGGUGUGUUCAAGUGUCGAGUCUAAAGAGGUAGGAGGGACUCUGGGUCAGUUCUGGAAACUUUUCUAAAUUGGAGUGAAGAGUUUGAGACCUGCUUCUAUAAAGGAAGUUUAAUUCGAUGUGACAGCUUUGUUCUGAGCGCUGCAAUACUGAGGUUUGAUAACUUUUCUUGACUUUUAACUCUGAGCCUGGCUCAUUCUUCAGAAUUUCUACUACUGGGAAUCUGUUACAACUUAUGAAGGCUCGUGUGCCUCGUGCUGACUGAGAUUUGGUUGGGUAUCUUGCAACCGAUCUACUUCCAGUAAGUUUCUCUGGACUUCCACUAGACUCUGUAUAUUGUCAUUCAGAGGAUAAUUUUCUAAUAUGUAACUUUUGAAUAUUUUUGUUACGUACUUGCACUUAAUGCUGUAACUUUAGUUAGAUUACUGUACCAAAAUUUUUUCUUCACAAACUUUUUUUUCACAAUAAACCAGUAUUACUCUUUAUUGCUUAGCAUCGUUUAAGUGUAGUAAUAAGUGUUUUUAUAAGGUCUCUUACAAAUAAAUUUGAGUAUCUUGGU